rnacentral:other from 1 species
UGUGGACUGCGAGACUGUUGGCGAGCCGGUGCCGGUGAGCCGAUACUUUUAUACCCGGAAGCCCGGGUCGCAUCGCGGUGAGCAGGCCCCCUCGGAGGGGGUAGCCUAAUGCGCUGCGCAGGGCAUCCACCCUGGUCACCCUGACUCGUACUGGGACCGCGUGCCACAGUUGAGCGGUCCAUCA